rnacentral:rRNA from 1 species
GACGAACGCUGGCGGCGUGCUUAACACAUGCAAGUCGAACGGAAAGGCCCUGCUUUUGUGGGGUGCUCGAGUGGCGAACGGGUGAGUAACACGUGAGUAACCUGCCCUUGACUUUGGGAUAACUUCAGGAAACUGGGGCUAAUACCGGAUAGGAGCUCCUGCUGCAUGGUGGGGGUUGGAAAGUUUCGGCGGUUGGGGAUGGACUCGAGGCUUAUCAGCUUGUUGGUGGGGUAGUGGCUUACCAAGGCUUUGACGGGUAGCCGGCCUGAGAGGGUGACCGGCCACAUUGGUACUGAGAUACGGCCCAGACUACUACGGGAGGCAGCAGUGGAGAAUAUUGCACAAUGGCAGGAAGCCUGAUGCAGCAACGCCACGUGCGGGAUGACGGACUUCGGGUUGUAAACCGCGUUCGCCUGUGACGAAGCGUGAGUGACGGUAAUGGGUAAAGAAGCACGGGCUAACUACGUG